UACAGAGGUCUCAAGCGUUGUUCGGAUUCAUUGGGCGUAAAGGGUGCGUAGGCGGCGCGGUAAGUCGGGUGUGAAAUCUCGGGGCUUAACUCCGAAACUGCAUUCGAUACUGCCGUGCUUGAGGACUGGGGAGGAGACUGGAAUUUACGGUGUAGCGGUGAAAUGCGUAGAUAUCGUAAGGAAGACCAGUGGCGAAGGCGGGUCUCUGGACAGUUCCUGACGCUGAGGCACGAAGGCCAGGGGAGCAAACGGG
rnacentral:rRNA from 1 species